UACGUAGGGUCCGAGCGUUGUCCGGAGUUACUGGGCGUAAAGCGCGCGCAGGCGGCGGUGUUGGCCCGGCGUGAAAGCCCCCGGCUCAACCGGGGAGGGUCGUCGGGGACCGCACCGCUUGAGGGCGGUAGGGGCUGGUGGAAUGCCUGGUGUAGUGGUGAAAUGCGUAGAGAUCAGGCAGAACACCUGGGGCGAAGGCGGCCAGCUGGGCCGUCCCUGACGCUGAGGCGCGAAGGCGUGGGGGAGCGAACAGG
rnacentral:rRNA from 1 species